AGGACGAACGCUGGCGGCGUGCUUAACACAUGCAAGUCGAACGAGGCGCUUGCGCCUAGUGGCGAACGGGUGAGUAACACGUGAGCAACCUGCCCUUGGCUCUGGGAUAGCCUCCGGAAACGGGGAUUAAUACCGGACAUGACCCGUGAUUGCAUGAUCACGGGUGGAAAGUUUUUCGGCCAGGGAUGGGCUCGCGGCCUAUCAGCUUGUUGGGGGGGUAACGCCCACCAAGGCGACGACGGGUA
rnacentral:rRNA from 1 species